UCCUAUCCCUAAACCCAAUUCCCUCCCUAACGAUUUCAUCGCCAACAGAUUUUGAAGAAUACAGAUACGAUUUCAUCCCUAACCCAGUUCGAUUUCAUAAACCCUAAAUGAUUUCAUCGCCCUCCCUAAUUCGUGCAUAUCGUUCUAUCGAUUUCAAGUGCUUCGUGCAUAUCGUCCUACCAAUUUCAACUACUCAACCGAUUUAGAUGGAGAUACUUCACAUCCUCUACUCGUAUAAAUUUGAAGCAGGUUUUCAAAGUAUCUUGUUUUUGUUUUCCAGAAUACAAGCAUCCAAUUUUCCAAGUUCGUAGACAGUUUGGCUCACGUAAUGGUGGACCCGAGACCCAGAUGGAUCUCACUGCAGUGCAUGACAUUUUGCUAAAAACAGGAUAUGAAGAUGAAGUGGGGGCUAAAAAUGAGAUGGUGGAGUGGAGUAAUUACCAAAGAACUUGCUGAUAAUAGGUAUAAUGUGUUC